UGGGGAAUAUUGGACAAUGGGCGCAAGCCUGAUCCAGCCAUGCCGCGUGAACGAAGAAGGCCCUAGGGUUGUAAAGUUCUUUCAGAAGUGAAGAUAAUGACGGUAACUUCAGAAGAAGCUCCGGCUAACUCCGUGCCAGCAGCCGCGGUAAUACGGGGGGAGCGAGCGUUAUUCGGAAUCACUGGGCGUAAAGCGUACGUAGGCGGCUUGACAAGUCAGAAGUGAAAGCCCAGGGCUCAACCCUGGUACUGCUUUUGAAACUGUCUCGCUAGAAUUCGGGAGAGGUUGGCGGAAUUCCCAGUGUAGAGGCGAAAUUCGUAUACAUUGGGAGUAACACCAGUGGCGUAGGCGGCCAACGGGACCGACAUUGACGCUGAGGUACGAAAGCGUGGGGAGCAAACAGGAUUAGCUACCCGCGUAGUCC
rnacentral:rRNA from 1 species